rnacentral:rRNA from 1 species
GACGAACGCGGCGGCGUGCCUAAUACAUGCAAGUAGAACGCUGAAGGAGGAGCUUGCUUCUCUGGAUGAGUUGCGAACGGGUGAGUAACGCGUAGGUAACCUGCCUGGUAGCGGGGGAUAACUAUUGGAAACGAUAGCUAAUACCGCAUAAGAGUAGAUGUUGCAUGACAUUUGCUUAAAAGGUGCAAUUGCAUCACUACCAGAUGGACCUGCGUUGUAUUAGCUAGUUGGUGAGGUAACGGCUCACCAAGGCGACGAUACAUAGCCGACCUGAGAGGGUGAUCGGCCACACUGGGACUGAGACACGGCCCAGACUCCUACGGGAGGCAGCAGUAGGGAAUCUUCGGCAAUGGACGGAAGUCUGACCGAGCAACGCCGCGUGAGUGAAGAAGGUUUUCGGGUCGUAAAGCUCUGUUGUAAGAGAAGAACGAGUGUGAGAAGUGGAAAGUUCACACUGUGACGGAUUUUAACCA